rnacentral:rRNA from 1 species
GGAAGACUCCGUCGCGGUCAGCCAGUCAUUCUCCUCCUCGUCCACUCCACCCAAGUCUGAAAAGAAGUGCACUCCGACUGCGCCGCCGUCGUCCACUGAAUCGAGUGGCUCCUCCUCCCCCACUCCCCACUCUGCCGACUAUCUCCGGGCCACGCCGCCUGGACCCGAGGACACAUUGACGAGCGAGCAGGGGAGCGGAGCGAGCGCCGGCGUCCGGCCGCUGCGUGCCGGAGAGGAGCACGGAGGCCGCGCGCAGGCGACGCCAUCGUCCUUCCACUUCCGGUGGUAAACCCGCGUGUGAUAUCUAAGAACAUGGUCACCAGAGCUGCUCAAAUGGACGGUGGUGUUCCCUUGCCUGUGUAUCUGACUAUCAGCUCCUGACGGCCCGGUGCCGCAAACAGAGGAGCAUAUUCUUCUAGCUCCGCAGGUUGGCGUGCCAUCGCUUAUUGAUGAUCCAGAGUUUAUAAGUUGGGGAGGUGGAGCUUCGAUGUGUGCUGAACUCUUCAGUUUCGUUCACUGGCUAUCAGUUUUCUAACAUCCAUGGAUCUGCCUUGUCAUCCGUGGAUGGCCAUGGUUAUCCUCCCCCUCCUCCUGCUCCUCGUGCCUCUCACCGCUGCCCAAUUGUGGCCAUCCUGUGGCGAGAGCGGCGACUACAAAUCAAAUAGCACCUACGAAGCCAACCUCAAGCUCCUCUCAACUAACCUCCCGAAGAAAGCAGCGUCAAGCACCAACCUCUUUGCCACCGACACCGUUGGCAAUGUUCCGAAUGUCAUCUUCGCCCUCGCACUCUGCCGCGGGGACUCCAACGCCUCUGCCUGCGAGGGCUGUUUGGUUACUGCCUUCCAGGACGGGCAGGUGCACUGCGCGAACUAUAAGGACGCCGCUGUGUACUAUGAUAGCGAUCCUUGCAUGCUCAGGUUCUCCAACAAGAAUUUUCUCGCCACCACCGUCAAUGAACGUAUGCUCGUCAUUGUGAGCAUCGAGAGCUUGAUGGUGAACAUCUCGACAAGAGCCGACUCCUUCAGGCUCAUGUUGUUCACGCUUCUGAACAGCACGGCUCAAUCGGCCGCGAACAGCUCGAGGAGAUUCACUACCUCGCGCUUAGAUGUCAGCGUCAGCUCCUUGCCUACGCUCUACUGCCUUAUGCAGUGCACGCCAGACCUGACCGCCGAUGAGUGCACGGCAUGUUUGCAGCCUUACCUCCAGUAUACACUCAAAUACAUGGAUGGUAAGAAAGGUGGUCGAGUACUGGGGACACGGUGUAGCAUGAGGUACGAGAUAUUUCCAUUCUUCCAAGAGGACCCCAUGCUGCGUAUUAUCAACUUAGCACCUGAAGUUCCACCGAUCAACAGCACCAUGCCACUGAUUACCGUGAACCCACCCCCGCAGCCGCAGUCACAGUCGCCGGUUGCGGCGGCACUUCAUGGACGCAAUUCACGCCGGAGGGCGCUCUGGAUUAUCGCUGCGGCAGCUCCAUUACUGUCAAUAUUUCUGUGUGCUAUCCUUUUUGUUGUAUGGAUAAGAAGACGAAGAAAAGGAACGGAAAUCUUACACGAUCAAGCUGCCGCGAAUAGGCCGGAAGAAGAUGAAUUGGUUUGGAGAUUGGAAGAGAAGAGUUCAGAGUUCACUUUGUUUGACUUAUCUGAGAUAUUGCAUGCUACACACGACUUCUCCAAAGAAAACCUACUUGGGCAAGGUGGUUUCGGCCCUGUCUACAAGAUGUGAGCCGAACAACUUUGGUUGAUUGGAACAAAAGAUGUGUGAUAAUCGAAGGGAUAGCCCAAGGUCUACUUUAUCUCCACAAGCACUCUCGGCUGCGCAUCAUACACAGAGACCUUAAGGCCAGUAACAUUCUCUUGGACCAGGAAAUGAAUCCUAAAAUUUCUGAUUUUGGGCUAGCAAAAAUUUUCAGCUCCAAUGAUACUCAAGGAAGCACAAAGAAGGUGGUGGGAACAUAUGGUUAUAUGGCUCCGGAGUAUGCAUCUGAAGGCAUUUACUCGAUCAAAUCUGACGUGUUCAGCUUUGGUGUGUUACUUCUCGAGAUCAUUAGCGGACAAAGGAAUUCUGGUUUCCAUCAGCACGAAGACUUUCUUAACCUCCUUGGAUAUUCAUGGCAGCUCUGGGAAGGAGGAAGAUGUUUUGAGCUUCUAGAAGCAUCAAUUGCCAAGGAGAUCCACGCAGCUGAGGCUAGGGAGUACAUUAACAUUGCACUAAUGUGCGUACAAGAGCACGCAGAUGAUCGACCGACCAUGUCAAAUGUCGUUGCGAUGUUAAACAGCGAGAGUUUUAUUCUUCCAGAGCCUAAACAUCCAGCAUACUUCAGCCUAAGGGUAUCUAAGGUAGAUGAAUCGGGUAAUAAUGACGUAACCGUCUGCAGUAAUAACGACUUAACCAUCACUGAGGAGCCAGAUGGCAGAUAGUUGAUCACUUUGCUUCAGUUGUUAAUGGAAGUGCUAGCAAUCAGACAGCAGGCAGACAGACCAGGUCAAGUGAACUAGGGCAGACCAAGUAAGCCUAUCAUAUUUUGGUUAUGAAGGAUGGCGACCGGCGCAUCUCUGUAGCCGUUUUUCGGUCCUGCGGUGAAUGAAGCUCUGCCGGUAUGCAUAGGCUGUAUUGAUAUGCAGGUUAAUACUGCAUUUAGCUUUUGUGCACCGCACCAUCAUUUUCCACUGGUGGCUGCUGCUGUAGACUUUAAAGGAAGACUUUAAAAGAGGACUUGAAAUCCAAAGGAUUUCAAUUUGACAGAAUCCUGCUGGGUAAAGUAUUUGUUGCAUCUAUACGCGCCUUUCAUGUUUUCCUGAAAGUUAAUUCCAUUGACAUGCCAG